rnacentral:rRNA from 1 species
UACGGAGGGGGCUAGCGUUGCUCGGAAUCACUGGGCGUAAAGGGCGCGUAGGCGGAUGAUUAAGUCGGAGGUGAAAGCCCAGGGCUCAACCCUGGAAUUGCCUUCGAUACUGAUCGUCUUGAGAGUGGUAGAGGUAAGUGGAAUACCGAGUGUAGAGGUGAAAUUCGUAGAUAUUCGGUGGAACACCAGUGGCGAAGGCGACUUACUGGACCACUUCUGACGCUGAGACGCGAAAGCGUGGGGAGCAAACAGG